AUGGGGCAUGGCACUUGGCUGCUCUGUACCUGGGCAGGCAGCAUAGACUCCCAUCUCCAGGAGCAGCUGCCCCAGGCACGCUGCUCCCUCUGGAGAGGCACAAGGUGGGGGACGUGUAGUGCCCCCAGACGGAAGGGGACCAGACCCUGCCAAGGCAACAAGGGGCCCUGUUGUGUCACGGCUUCCACUCCAGCCCCACGGGCAGUGCCUCACAGUGCAGUGCUCCACCAUGGGGAGCGGACAUGGGCAGGCAGGGUGCUACCACUGGGGUGCCCAAGUGCGCUCCCCACUGACCCUCCCCAUGGGCAAGCACUGUGCCAGGGGAACAGAGCCAUGGAAAGACUUCUGGGAUGCUGGCUGGGGGGGCCCUAUGGGGCCACCUUUCACCUCUGCAGGUUUGAACUGCAGUGUGUUCAUCACAUGGCACUCAGCGGCGCAAGGAAACCCGUGAAAGGGCGUGCCAGGGAGCAGGGCCAGAGGCCUGCAGGGAAGCGCCCUCAAGCAGCAGAGCCUCCAACAGCAGCCAGGAGCGUGGCCCCGGGAGGCAGUGCCAGCCACCAGGGACCCAGGCUGAAAGGUACCUCCCUGGCUGUGAGGGUCUUCUUGCAGCCAGGUGCCCCAAGCCUGGGGCGAAGGCAGUGACAGGGUGAUGUGGUACCAGAAGGUGGGCAGGAUGCUGAGCCCUGUGCCCGUGCCAGCUGCUCCUCUUGCACCAGGUCUGGGGUCACUGGCUUGCUGCUGCUGGCCACGUGAUGGCAUGUGUGUGCAGGUUGGCUUCUUGUCUCUCUGCUAUGAAAUAAAAAUGCACCUUUGCCCCA
rnacentral:lncRNA from 1 species